rnacentral:rRNA from 1 species
UUCCGGUUGAUCCUGCCGGACCCGACUGCUAUCAGAGUGGGACUAAGCCAUGCGAGUCAACAUAGCAAUAUGUGGCAUACGGCUCAGUAACACGUAGUCAACAUGCCCAGGGGACGUGGAUAACCUCGGGAAACUGAGGAUAAACCGCGAUAGGUCAUCACUUCUGGAAUGGGUAAUGACUUAAAUCUAUAUGGCCCCUGGAUUGGACUGCGGCCGAUCAGGCUGUUGGUGAGGUAAUGGCCCACCAAACCUGUAACCGGUACGGGCUCUGAGAGGAGGAGCCCGGAGAUGGGCACUGAGACAAGGGCCCAGGCCCUAUGGGGCGCAGCAGGCGCGAAACCUCUGCAAUAGGCGAAAGCUUGACAGGGUUACUCUGAGUGAUUUCCGUUAAGGAGAUCUUUUGGCACCUCUAAAAAUGGUGCAGAAUAAGGGGUGGGCAAGUCUGGUGUCAGCCGCCGCGGUAAUACCAGCACCCCGAGUGGUCGGGACGUUUAUUGGGCCUAAAGCAUCCGUAGCCGGUUCUACAAGUCUUCCGUUAAAUCCACCUGCUUAACAGAUGGGCUGCGGAAGAUACUAUAGAGCUAGGAGGCAGGAGAAGCAACGGUACUCAGUGGGUAGGGGUAAAAUCCG